UAAACUAGGAUUAGAUACCCUAUUAUUAUAAAAUGUUAUUUUAGUAUUAAUUUAAGAUUUAUUAAAUUUAAAGAUUUUGGCGGUAUUCUAAGCUUUUUAGAGGAAUUUAUUUUUUAAUUGAUAUGGCACAAAAAUCUUUCUUAAUUUUGUUAGGUCAGUUUGUAUAUCGCUAUCAUUUUAUAAUGUUGUUUAACAAUUGUAAAAAAAAAUUUUUUUUAGGAUGUUAGGUCAAAAUGCAACAAAAAAUUAAGUUUUAAAUAAAUUACGUUAAUUUAUAUUAGAAAAUUUAUGAAAAAAGUUAUUAGGAUUUAACAGUAAAUUUUGAUUAUAAUGUUUGAUUGAAAUAAGCUCUGGAAUAUGCACACAUCGCCCGUCGCUCUCAUUA
rnacentral:rRNA from 1 species